rnacentral:lncRNA from 1 species
UUGUUCUCAUCAACAUGAAAAACAAUAUCAUUCAGUGAUAAAAAAUAUGAGAUCAUUAUUAUAAAAUCUAUGACCAUAAAAUUUAUCAAAAGGAGAGCAAUCUUUGCCUUUUACAUUAAUUUCAAAAUCAUGUUACAAUAACAAAAGAAUUAAAAUAAUAUUUUGACAAAUUUAGGCAUAUAAUAUCAAUCUACUAGUUUCAAAAUCUUGCCAGAAGGUAACACAUACAAAUAGGUUCCUUCAGCUUCAGC